AUAAAAGAAAGGUCAACUCAGAAACAGAGAGUAGAAAAGCAGUUGCCAGAGCUGUGGGGUGGGAGGAAUAGGGAGAGGCAGGUAAAAGGGGACGAAGUUUCAGCUCUGAGAUCAAGAAGCUCUGAGGAUCUCACGUCUGAUGUGGUGACUAGAGUCAAGAACACUGAAUUGUAUAAUUGACAUCAGCUAAGAGAGCAGCACUUCAGUGUCCUCACACACACACAGUCAAUAAGUGAGGUGAAAACAACAAUCAGAGUUGAGGACAGAGGAGAAUCAGGGUAUGAAUCCCUGGGAACCAGCCCAAAUUGCCAGGAGAACUUCAGACUUUCAAAGGCCAUGAGAUAGGUGGGUUCAAACCAAGAAUCCAGGAGACGCAGGGAACCGGGUGACAUCUGGCUUCCAGGUGGAAGGAAUACAAAACUAGCUAAGGUCUAGAAGGCCCAGGAGGGUGGAGGGAGGCAGUUGUAGGUCAGUUGGUGGCGGAGGGGCUGUGGUCCAAUCUGCUUCCCUGCUGUCCCCUCCCCCCCCUCAGAAGCCCUUGUGACACGGCCACAGUUCCAUGAUGAGGACGUGGGGUUCUAAUCUCCAAGUCACUCCCAGUGCUCAGUUGCCUGAGAGUAGAACUGUAUUUGAGAUAUGGAAACUCCUAUCUUAUAUGUAAAAAGCAUUGUUGCUACCUGGUUGAGCUCCAGUUCCACUUCCUGGGUGAUUGGGACCAUCCUCUGCAUCCUGUGUGGACUGGGGCUCUUCCUCCUGUUCCUUCCCUCCAUAGGAAUUCGUCCUUACAACCACCUUACAAAAGGAGAAAGGUCAGGAAGCAUCAAGUGGAGCCGAGAGGGAGGAGCAGCAGGAACAGGAAGAAAAGGGAAGCUUUGAAAGCUCACAGAGCUGGCCGGAAGGACCUGGCAGAAGUGGGGGGCCUGAUGUCCUUUUCGUAAAGCACACAGGGAAGAGGCCAUCUGAGGACACAACCAGAAGGAGGUCCUCUACAAGCCAGGAAGACAGCCUUCUCCAGAAAUCAACCUGAUGGCACCUUGAUCUUUGACUUCCAGCCACCAGAACUCUGAGAAAAUGAAUUUCUGUUGUUUGAACCACCUGGUCUGUUGUAUUUCAUUAUGGCAGCCCAAGCAGAGUAAUACAGAAGGCCAGGCCCCUAGAUCCUGGAAAAGUCUUGCUCUUUGCUGAGGUGCCUGUUAAAAUUUAAUGUAUUCAUGAG
rnacentral:lncRNA from 1 species